UUCCGGUUGAUCCUGCCGGAGGUCAUUGCUAUUGGAGUCCGAUUAAGCCAUGCUAGUCGCACGGGUUUAGACCCGUGGCGGAAAGCUCAGUAACACGUGGCCGAACUACCCUAUGGACCAGGACAACCUCGGGAAACUGAGAGUAAUCCUGGAUACGACUUCCUACCUUGAAUGGGGGGAGUCGAAAACGCUCAGGCGCCAUAGGAUGUGGCUGCGGCCGAUUAGGUAGACGGUGGGGUAACGGCCCACCGUGCCCAUAAUCGGUACGGGUUGUGAGAGCAAGAGCCCGGAGAUGGAAUCUGAGACAAGAUUCCAGGCCCUACGGGGCGCAGCAGGCGCGAAACCUUUACACUGCACGAAAGUGCGAUAGGGGGACUCCAAGUGCGAGGGCAUACAGUCCUCGCUUUUGUGUACCGUAAGGUGGUACACGAAUAAGAGCUGGGCAAGACCGGUGCCAGCCGCCGCGGUAAUACCGGCAGCUCGAGUGAUGACCGCUAUUAUUGGGCCUAAAGCGUCCGUAGCCGGCCGAACAGGUCCGUUGGGAAAUCCACUGGCUCAACCAGUGGGCGUCCAGCGGAAACCCGUCGGCUUGGGGCCGGAAGACCUGAGGGGUACGUCUGGGGUAGGAGUGAAAUCCUGUAAUCCUGGACGGACCGCCGGUGGCGAAAGCGCCUCAGAGGACGGACCCGACGGUGAGGGACGAAAGCUAGGGUCACGAACCGGAUUAGAUACCCGGGUAGUCCUAGCCGUAAACGAUGAUCGCUAGGUGUGGCGCUGGCUACGAGCCAGCGCUGUGCCGUAGGGAAGCCGCGAAGCGAUCCGCCUGGGAAGUACGUCCGCAAGGAUGAAACUUAAAGGAAUUGGCGGGGGAGCACUACAACCGGAGGAGCCUGCGGUUUAAUUGGACUCAACGCCGGACAUCUCACCGGCCCCGACAGUAGCCGUGAACGUCAGUGUGAUGAGCUUACUGGAGCUACUGAGAGGAGGUGCAUGGCCGCCGUCAGCUCGUACCGUGAGGCGUCCUGUUAAGUCAGGCAACGAGCGAGACCCGCACUCCUAAUUGCCAGCAACACCCUUGUGGUGGUUGGGUACAUUAGGAGGACUGCCGCUGCCAAAGCGGAGGAAGGAACGGGCAACGGUAGGUCAGUAUGCCCCGAAUGGGCCGGGCGACACGCGGGCUACAAUGGCCGGGACAGUGGGAUGCCACCCCGAGAGGGGGCGCUAAUCUCCUAAACCCGGUCGUAGUUCGGAUUGAGGGCUGAAACUCGCCCUCAUGAAGCUGGAUUCGGUAGUAAUCGCGUUUCAGAAGAGCGCGGUGAAUACGUCCCUGCUCCUUGCACACACCGCCUGUCAAAGCACCCGAGUGAGGUCCGGAUGAGGCCACCGUAACGGUGGUCGAAUCUGGGCUUCGCAAGGGGGCUUAAGUCGUAACAAGGUAGCCGUAGGGGAAUCUGCGGCUGGAUCACCUCCU
rnacentral:rRNA from 1 species